ensembl:lncRNA
UAACCUUAUGAAAUUAAUCAGCAGCUAAAAUCAUGGAACCAUGUCCCACAUGCUUAUACAGUAAUAUGGACUAGAUAACUGUACAGAGCUGAACUUGUAACUGUAGUUUGUGUCCCCAGGUGUCUGCCUCCACACCUCCCUGCUGUCACCACUGGUCUAAGAAGUCCAUAACGGUUAGUGUGGGAGGCGCAGCUCCAGUACUUGCUUUCUUGAACCUGUGUGAUGCACAAGAUGUUGAUCCAACCGCACAGUGAGCUCUGCAGGGUGGUCAGGACGGCUGGAGACGUGGAGGACGGGGCGGGGAGCCAGGCUCACCAGUGAUCUCCUGGGCGAGGCGUGGGGCGCCAGGAGGGACCGAGGCCGACCACCAAGCUGUUCUGAAACGCUGAAGGCCAGGCAUUAUUUUAGUUCUUUGUUUUUGUUUUUCUUAGUAGUAGUAGUUCUGAUUUUCAUUCUGUGACAUUUUGCCAAAGCUGUGAUUUGAGAUAAUAUCUUGGGUCAUCCGAGUAGUUGGCUGUUUUUGACCCUAUUGCUGCUCCUGCUACUAUAGUUUAUACAUUACUCAAUAAGUUGAAAUGUAAACUGAAGAGUUUGAUAUUUGUUACCGCUUUACAAGUGCAAGGGUGUUUGUUACCAGAUGUUAGACGAGCUACCACGUUUGUUACCAGACAUGAAGGUGAAACCACCUGUUUGUCACCAGACAUGGAGGUGAAACCACCUGUUUGUUGUCCAGAAUAGGACCCGUGGUGGAGGGCAGCUAGUGGGGAGCAGUGCUGGAGGACCUGCUGGGAAGGACAUCCCUCGUAGGGGUAAAGACACCCGUCUCUGAGAUGUGAAGGCUGCAGAGGACCCACCAGGAUCCCCUUGGAGGACAACAAAUGGACUACGUGAGGUCUUUGGAAGCACUACAGUUCAGAAGGCCUUCCAAAGAAUGAAGCCCAGCCCCCAUGGCUCAGCUAGUGGCGUUCAGCGGACCAGGAACCCUGAGACCUGAAGGAGGAGCCGUGCAUCUGGAGGAACACCAUGAGGCUACCUGCCAAGUAUUACUCACUUCCACGAGGAGGGGGGCUGGCGGCUGGAGGACCUCCCUACUGGUGGGGCGAGUGACACCCGGCUCUACAGGGAUGACCACGGAGGAGAGAGAGCUGAAGCUGUGCAUCCUGAAGGGGAAUCUGCUACUGAUGGCGCGGUUGAAGUGCUGUGUUCAGUCUGGGAAGGACACACCUGAGCUGUUUCACCCUGAGCUGCUUCACACCUGCAUCUCUAACCAGCUGAAGCCCUUCAGUGACCAACAAAAGGUGCCUCAUCACAGCUUAUCAUCGCUGGCCUGAGGAUUCAUCCCCUACACUCACACAACGUGACUUUGUCACCAUCUGCUGCACGUUGGGAUGCUAACGUGUUCCACCAGGGGUUCCUUCCUUCCCGCAGUGGGAGUGUUCCUUGUCCUUCAAGGAGUUAGGGUUCAGUGUUAGGGACAGAGUUAGGGAGAGAUGGUUGAGUCCUGGCUGGUUUACGAUGAACUGCUCUAACGCUUUGCCAAAAUGUUUCAAUGUGCAAACACUCACAAACACAUACAAUGUAUAAUAAGUGUUUAUGAAAUAAAUUCUGUUAUAAUUCUGCAUGUUUGUGUAGGGGUUUUAUUACCAUUAAACAAUUUUCUCUCACCGCAACCUCCCCACUGCUCUCACCUUAACGUCACCUUAACGUCCCC